UACGUAGGGUGCAAGCGUUGUCCGGAAUUAUUGGGCGUAAAGAGCUUGUAGGCGGUUUGUCGCGUCUGCUGUGAAAUUUCGGGGCUCAACCCCGAACUUGCAGUGGGUACGGGCAGACUAGAGUGUGGUAGGGGAGACUGGAAUUCCUGGUGUAGCGGUGAAAUGCGCAGAUAUCAGGAGGAACACCGGUGGCGAAGGCGGUUCUCUGGGCCUGACCUGACGCUGAGGAGCGAAAGCGUGGGGAGCGAACAGG
rnacentral:rRNA from 1 species